UACGUAGGGUGCGAGCGUUGUCCGGAAUUAUUGGGCGUAAAGAGCUCGUAGGCGGUCUGUCGCGUCUGCUGUGAAAUCCCGAGGCUCAACCUCGGGCUUGCAGUGGGUACGGGCAGGCUAGAGUGCGGUAGGGGAGAAUGGAACUCCUGGUGUAGCGGUGGAAUGCGCAGAUAUCAGGAAGAACACCGAUGGCGAAGGCAGUUCUCUGGGCCGUAACUGACGCUGAGGAGCGAAAGCGUGGGGGGCGAACAGG
rnacentral:rRNA from 1 species